rnacentral:rRNA from 1 species
AGUGAACGCUGGCGGUAGGCCUAACACAUGCAAGUCGAACGGCAGCACAGUAAGAGCCUGCUCUUACGGGUGGCGAGUGGCGGACGGGUGAGGAAUACAUCGGAAUCUACUUUUUCGUGGGGGAUAACGUAGGGAAACUUACGCUAAUACCGCAUACGACCUACGGGUGAAAGCAGGGGAUCUUCGGACCUUGCGCGAUUGAAUGAGCCGAUGUCGGAUUAGCUAGUUGGCGGGGUAAAGGCCCACCAAGGCGACGAUCCGUAGCUGGUCUGAGAGGAUGAUCAGCCACACUGGAACUGAGACACGGUCCAGACUCCUACGGGAGGCAGCAGUGGGGAAUAUUGGACAAUGGGCGCAAGCCUAAUCCAGCCAUACCGCGUGGGUGAAGAAGGCCUUCGGGUUGUAAAGCCCUUUUGUUGGGAAAGAAAAGCAGCAGGUUAAUACCCCGCUGUUCUGACGGUACCCAAAGAAUAAGCACCGGCUAACUUCGUG